rnacentral:rRNA from 1 species
CAGCCGUAAACUAUGCGCGUUAGGUGUACUGGUGACCACGAGUCACCGGGGUGCCGAAGGGAAACCGUGAAACGUGCCGCCUGGGAAGUACGGUCGCAAGGCUGAAGCUUAAAGGAAUUGGCGGGGGAGCACCACAACGGGUGGAGCCUGCGGUUUAAUUGGACUCAACGCCGGAAAUCUCACCGGAUAGGACAGACAUAUGAUAGUCGGGCUGAAGACUCUACUUGAUGAUCUGAGAGGAGGUGCAUGGCGUCAGUGACU